GAUGAACGCUGGCGGCGUGCCUAAUACAUGCAAGUCGAGCGGACAGACGAGGAGCUUGCUCCUCUGACGUUAGCGGCGGACGGGUGAGUAACACGUGGAUAACCUACCUAUAAGACUGGGAUAACUUCGGGAAACCGGAGCUAAUACCGGAUAAUAUAUUGAACCGCAUGGUUUAAUAGUGAAAUACGGUUUUGCUGUCACUUAUAGAUGUAUCCGCGCCGCAUUAGCUAGUUGGUAAGGUAACGGCUUACCAAGGCGACGAUGCGUAGCCGACCUGAGAGGCUGGUCGGCCACACUGGAACUGAGACACGGUCCAGACUCCUACGAGAGGCAGCAGUAGGGAAUCUUCCGCAAUGGGCGAAAGCCUGACGGAGCAACGCCGCGUGAGUGAUGAAGGCCUUCGGAUCGUAAAACUCUGUUAUGAGGGAAGAACAAAUGUGUAAGUAACUAUGCACGUCUUGACGGUACCUAAUCAGAAAGCCACGGCUAACUACGUG
rnacentral:rRNA from 1 species